CCAGACUCCUACGGGAGGCAGCAGUGGGGAAUAUUGGGCAAUGGGCGCAAGCCUUACCCAGCAAUACCGCGUGAGUGAAGAAGGUCUUCGGAUUGUAAAGCUCUUUGAUCAGGGACGAACAGAUGACGGUACCUGAAGAACAAGCCCCGGCUAACUACGUGCCAGCAGCCGCGGUAAUACGUAGGGGGCAAGCGUUAUCCGGAUUCACUGGGUGUAAAGGGAGCGUAGACGGCGACGCAAGUCUGGAGUGAAAGCCCGGGGCCCAACCCCGGGACUGCUCUGGAAACUGCGUCGCUGGAGUACGGGAGGGGCAGGCGGAAUUCCUGGUGUAGCGGUGAAAUGCGUAGAUAUCAGGAGGAACACCGGCGGCGAAGGCGGCCUGCUGGACCGUGACUGACGUUGAGGCUCGAGAGCGUGGGGAGCAAACAGGAUUAGAUACCCGCGUAAA
rnacentral:rRNA from 1 species